UACAGAGGGUGCGAACGUUGCUCGGAAUUACUGGGCGUAAAGCGCAUGUAGGCGGGGUCGCAAGUCAGAUGUGAAAGCCCCGGGCUCAACCCGGGAACUGCAUCUGAAACUGCCGGUCUUGAGUACUGGAGAGGGUGGCGGGAAUUCCUGGUGUGAGAGGUGGAAAUACGGUAGAUAUCUGGAGGAACACCGGUGGCGAAGGCGGCAUCCUGGACCGGCAUUGACGCUGAGGAGCGAAAGCCAGGGGAGCAAACGGG
rnacentral:rRNA from 1 species